rnacentral:rRNA from 1 species
UGUCUACUAAUUAUAGACUAGCAUGAAAGGCUAAAUGAGGGUUUAACUGUCUCUUAUAGCAGAUCAAUUAAACUGAUCUCCCAGUAAAAAAGCUGGGAUACUUACACAAGACCAGAAGACCCUGUGAAGCUUAAACUAAUUUAUUAAAUCAUAUAAUAACUACUUUCGGUUGGGGCGACCUUGGAAAAAAAAGAACUUCCAAACACAAUGGUUAACCACCUCACCUCAGGCCAACAAGCCACAAACACGACCCAGCAAAGCUGAUAAUUGAACCAAGUUACUCCAGGGAUAACAGCGCCAUCUUCUUCGAGAGUCCCUAUCAAAAGGAAGGUUUACGACCUCGAUGUUGGAUCAGGACAUCCUAAUGGUGUA